UUGGUCCUACGGGAGGCAGCAGUGGGGAAUAUUGCACAAUGGGGGGAACCCUGAUGCAGCAAUGCCGCGUGGGUGAAGAAGUACUCCGGUAUGUAAAGCCCUAUCAGCAGGGAAGAAGAAAGACGGUACCUGACUAAGAAGCCCCGGCUAACUACGUGCCAGCAGCCGCGGUAAUACGUAGGGGGCAAGCGUUAUCCGGAUUUACUGGGUGUAAAGGGAGCAUAGACGGCUGUGCAAGUCUGAAGUGAAAGCCCGUGGCUCAACCGCGGAACUGCUUUGGAAACUGUAUAGCUUGAGUACUGGAG
rnacentral:rRNA from 1 species